rnacentral:tRNA from 1 species
CCUACGAUAGCUCAGUUGGUAGAGCAAUGGACUGUAGAAAUGAAAACAUUAUUAGAAUUAAAUAGAAAGUUAUUCAUAGGUCGCUGGGUCAACUCCGGCUCGAAGGA